rnacentral:rRNA from 2 species
CCUGGCGGCCUUAGCGCGGUGGUCCCACCUGACCCAUGCCGAACUCAGAAGUGAAACGCCGUAGCGCCGAUGGUAGUGUGGGGUCUCCCCAUGCGAGAGUAGGGAACUGCCAGGC